UUGGUUGAUUUCAGUUGGAGUAUGUAUCAUUUUCUUUCCAGUAAAUUUACCAGACUUCUCCUUUUUCGUGGAGAACAAUCUUCUCUGAGGAACAAUAUUUUUAUUAGGAGCUGGGGUGUCUGUUUUUGGAAAAGACUGUGUUUUUUCCCUGAUGGCCGCUAAACAUGGAUUAGCUAGAGCCAUCAAUCUUUCAAGGCAUUCCAUUUCUUCAUUAGUUUUAACUGAAUUCAAAGUUUCCUGGAUGGAAGUGGAAAUGAAGAUGAAAGUGGUAGUGAAAAAAGGUAUAAUAAAAACGAUGAGGUGCCGUGGACCGAAGUUGUUAAAAAGAAAAAAACAUUCCCACCACUAAUUAUAAAACCAAAAAAUGCCAGUCAGGACAGCGCCGUCACUAAGAACGCCGUUUGUGAGAAAAUUAAACCAUCGGAUUUAGCUGUUGAAAUUAAAAAAGUAAAGGCUGUCGGCCAUGGUAGUGUUGUUAUCGAAUGUAAUAAAGUCCAGUUCAGAGAUCUAUUAGAAUCUUUGAUGUGUCGCAGAUGCCGCACUAACUAGUCCGUGCGCCUAUGUCAUAUUUAUUGUUGCAUGAUAUAUAUGUUUAAAUGGCAAAAUUUUAUAUUGUCUAUCUAUGAAAUCAUUUUAAAUAUACGUAAAACUCCAUGUUUUAUACUAUUUUUUAUUUUUCUUUCAAAAAUGUCAAUUUUUAGAAAGAAAAUAAUAUCACAAGAAAAUAAUAUCAAAAAAUUGACCGCGGACUAAAAUCCAAGCAUCUUACAAAAUAUUUUAAACACUUCCAGCACUCACAGACUUGUCACCUCUUUUUAGCCAGUCUAUUAAACAAAGAUAAAACACCUGCGUUCUGACAAUUCCUACUUUAGGCUGUGCAAGUGAUUGUGUAUCUCUCUCUAUCCCACUGAAUUUAAGAAUUACGGGGCCGUACCCAAAUAAAUUUUUGGACCGUUUUUGUAUUAUUUUCGUCGUGUUUUUAAAGAGAUCAUUACGGAUGGGUCUAUCGCCUUUAAAAUAGUUGUUGGAUGGGUCUAUCAGCUUUAAUAGUUGGGAGGGGGGCCAUGUGAGGUUAUUAUUUGAUGUGUUUUGCCGGUUAUGCUUUUUACACGUUUAUGAAAAUAAAGAAUUUAGAAUUUGGCCUGUAUGCCUGUAAAUUUUUUGCAGUUUUUACUGUGAGGAACAGUGUUUUUUUAUUUGUGUUUGUGGAUUUGUUUUGGUAUUAUACCUAAAGACCUUAAAAUGUCUCGACCCUGGAAAAAUAGGCAGGAAAAUUUGGCAAAUGAAGAGGAAAGUGUUUGUGCGGGCUUAUGGAGACCGUGGGUGUACAAGAAAGACAAUAACAUUUGUGAUAAAAACAAUAAGAGUGAUCUGGGCAGUGAUUUAGACUUACAUAGUUCUGAUAGUUCAUUUUCUAGUAUUGAGGAAGCAAAAAGAAGCAAGAGAAGUAGAACAAUCUAAGGAAUGAUACUCAGUUCACAAAUGAUUGUAGUGCUUUGCAAAAAAUAGCGUUUUUAACAGGGGUUCCCUAUAGUACAAUAUGCCUGUAAAAAAAAGGAUUAAAGACAGAAUAAAAAGGAAAGAUGCAGGACAAUCAAAGGGACUUGACAUGGAUAUUGCCAAAUUGCUAAGGAAAGGUGUGUAUCCUAAAUACAAAAACAAUAAGGUUCUGACCAUAUAGACACCUUAUCGGCAAGGGACAAACAUUUCUCAGUCUCAACCUUGCGGAGAUACCUGAUAAAACUUGGAUUUAAGCUUAAGAUGGUUAACAAAAGAGCUGCUGUAAUGGAAUUGUCACGUGGUGUAUAGAAUAUUUGAGGAAAAUUAAAAAAAUUUGGGAGGAAGAAAGAUCCAUAUAUUAUUUAGCCGAAACAUGAUAUGAUACAUUUAUGAUUGAUGUAUGAUUUCCAUUCUCUGGGAAAAAAGUCCCUUUUUUGCCAUAGUAAGAAAACCAUAUUUUUAUUAAUAAAACAAGUUUAAAAUUUUGUUUUUUACAGCUUACUGCCCCUGUUGUCCUUCAGUGAUACAAUAAAGACUGCUUCUUCCACCAUUCUCUGGGAAAAACCCUGUUUUGCUAUGCUUACUACCCCUGUUUUCCUUCAGCAACACAAUGAAGACUGCUUCUUCCUCCAUUCUCUGGAAAAAAGUCCCUUUUUUGCCAUACUUACUGCCCCUGUUUGUCCUAUGCUUUAGAAUCCAUAUGCUGAUGUGCGAGAUGAAGUUGGAAUUCAUGACGGCAACAGAGAAACUGUUUCCUUCCUUAAUGGAAGAAACUGCUAAAGAAC